AGAUUGAACGCUGGCGGCAGGCCUAACACAUGCAAGUCGAGCGGUAGAGAGGUGCUUGCAUCUCUUGAGAGCGGCGGACGGGUGAGUAAUGCCUAGGAAUCUGCCUAGUGGUGGGGGAUAACGUUCGGAAACGGACGCUAAUACCGCAUACGUCCUACGGGAGAAAGCGGGGGACCUUCGGGCCUCGCGCCAUUAGAUGAGCCUAGGUCGGAUUAGCUAGUUGGUGAGGUAAUGGCUCACCAAGGCGACGAUCCGUAACUGGUCUGAGAGGAUGAUCAGUCACACUGGAACUGAGACACGGUCCAGACUCCUACGGGAGCAGCAGUGGGGAAUAGUUGGACAAUGGGACGAAAGCCUGAUCCAGCCAUCGCCGCGUGUGUGAAGAAGGUCUUCGGUAUUAGAAAGCUAACGUUUAAGUGGGAAGUAAGGUUAGUAAACUUAAUACGUCUAGUACUAACUUUGACGUUACCGAUAAGAAUAAGCAACGUCUAACUUCGU
rnacentral:rRNA from 1 species